UACGUAGGGGGCAAGCGUUGUCCGGAUUUAUUGGGCGUAAAGAGCGUGUAGGCGGCUUUGCAAGUCCGUUGUGAAAACUCGAGGCUCAACCUCGAGACGCCGGUGGAAACUGCAAAGCUAGAGUCCGGAAGAGGAGAGUGGAAUUCCUGGUGUAGCGGUGAAAUGCGCAGAUAUCAGGAAGAACACCGGUGGCGAAGGCGGCCUGCUGGGACAUGGCUGACGCUGAGGCGCGACAGCGUGGGGAGCAAACAGG
rnacentral:rRNA from 1 species